UACGUAGGGUGCGAGCGUUAAUCGGAAUUACUGGGCGUAAAGCGUGCGCAGGCGGUUAUGUAAGACAGGUGUGAAAUCCCCCGGGCUUAACCUGGGAACUGCAUUUGUGACUGCAUAGCUAGAGUACGGUAGAGGGGGGAUGGAAUUCCGCGUGUAGCAGUGAAAUGCGUAGAUAUGCGGAGGAACACCGAUGGCGAAGGCAAUCCCCUGGACCUGUACUGACGCUCAUGCACGAAAGCGUGGGGAGCAAACAGG
rnacentral:rRNA from 1 species